ensembl:snRNA U6 U6 spliceosomal RNA
GAUUGUUUGGGUGCACAUAUGCUAAAAUUGGAACCAUACAGAGAAGAUUAGCAUGGCCCCGGUGCAAGGAAAACAUGCACAUUCUGAAGCAUUCCAUAUGUUU